rnacentral:rRNA from 1 species
GUGGGGAAUCUUGCGCAAUGGGCGAAAGCCUGACGCAGCCAUGCCGCGUGAAUGAUGAAGGUCUUAGGAUUGUAAAAUUCUUUCACCGGGGACGAUAAUGACGGUACCCGGAGAAGAAGCCCCGGCUAACUUCGUGCCAGCAGCCGCGGUAAUACGAAGGGGGCUAGCGUUGCUCGGAAUUACUGGGCGUAAAGGGCGCGUAGGCGGACAGUUUAGUCAGAGGUGAAAGCCCAGGGCUCAACCUUGGAAUUGCCUUUGAUACUGGCUGUCUUGAGUACGGGAGAGGUGAGUGGAACUCCGAGUGUAGAGGUGGAAUUCGUAGAUAUUAGGAAGAACACCAGUGGCGAAGGCGGCUUACUGGUCCGGAACUGACGCUGAGGUGCGAAAGCGUGGGGAGCAAACAGGAUUAGAAACCCGAGUAGUCC